CAAUAGCGUAUAUUAAAGUUGUUGCAGUUAAAAAGCUCGUAGUUGGAUUUCUGAUCGAGACAUCAGGUCGGGUCCGAGAGGAUCAUGUACUUUGAUUUUGUUUUGAUCAUCCUUGGGGAGAGCAUUUCUGGCAUUCAGUUGUCGGGAUUGGGAUCCUCAUCGUUUACUGUGAAAAAAUUAGAGUGUUCAAAGCAGGCCUCGGCCUCUAAAUACAUUAGCAUGGAAUAAUAAGAUAGGACUUUGGUGGUCUAUUUUGUUGGUUUGCACGCCAAAGUAAUGAUUAAUAGGGAUAGUUGGGGGUAUUCGUAUUCAAUUGUCAGAGGUGAAAUUCUUGGAUUUAUGGAAGACGAACUACUGCGAAAGCAUUUACCAAGGAUGUUUUCAUUAA
rnacentral:rRNA from 1 species